GGUACUUGGAGUGAAGUAGAAGACUUAUGACACGAUUACGUGUUGUUUGGAAAUAUUUAGAAAGUGUGUUCAUAGUUGAUCUAUUAAGCAGUCAAUGAUUUGUUGACUGGGCAAGUCUGCCACACUUUUACAAAUUUUCCAGUUUCCAAACACCUGGAAGAAGCAUCAAGUAAAACUUCAAAACAAAGACCUGUUGGAUACACAGCCUAGACUUACUUUUUUGUUUUUUGUUUUUUCUGAUAGAAACAUGAGUUCUGCUGGCCCUGAUGGGAGAAAAGCGAUGAGAAGAUGUGACGGACUCAUUGACUCACUGGUCCAUUAUGUCAGAGGAACCAUUGCAGAUUACCAGCCAGAUGACAAGGCCACGGAGAAUUGUGUGUGCAUUCUUCAUAACCUCUCCUACCAGCUGGAGGCAGAGCUCCCGGAGAAAUAUUCCCAGAAUAUCUAUAUUCAAAACCGGAAUAUCCAGACUGACAACAACAAAAGUAUUGGAUGUUUUGGCAGUCGAAGCAGGAAAGUAAAAGAGCAAUACCAGGACGUGCCGAUGCCGGAGGAAAAGAGCAACCCCAAGGGCGUGGAGUGGCUGUGG
rnacentral:sRNA from 1 species